UACGUAGGGUGCAAGCGUUGUCCGGAAUUAUUGGGCGUAAAGAGCUCGUAGGCGGUUUGUCACGUCGGCCGUGAAAACUCGGGGCUCAACCCCGAGCCUGCGGUCGAUACGGGCAGACUAGAGUGCUGUAGGGGAGAUUGGAAUUCCUGGUGUAGCGGUGGAAUGCGCAGAUAUCAGGAGGAACACCGAUGGCGAAGGCAGAUCUCUGGGCCGUAACUGACGCUGAGGAGCGAAAGCAUGGGGAGCGAACAGG
rnacentral:rRNA from 1 species